CCAGUGCAGCUUCUUUAAUAAGAAACUAACAUAUUUUCCAUUUAAGACUUUUAGCGGUGUGCCUUACAAAUUUUUGAAUGUGUAUUAAACGAUUAAUUAAUUUUUUGGGCAAUGAUAAGCUUACCUAGAAACAAUACCGUGUAUGAGUGCAUUUAAUUCAAUUCAAAUAUACGCAGCGUAGUAGCCCACUGCGCCACAACAUGUCGGAAGACGUGGUGUCUCGCGUGGGCAUUGAUUUGCAGACCGCCUACGAAGAAAAACUGCUGCCACUGGAGAGGCGACACGACUUCCAUGAAUUCCACCCAGCGCCUCCUCGUGACUUCACCUCAAAGCCGCUGGUGGCCAUGGUGGGCGCCGCCGGGUCGGGCAAGUCUACGCUGGUGAGCUGGCUGCUGGGCUGCAACCCAUACCCCGC